GUCGGGAUGAUGCUUCAGACCUCACCUCAGAUGCCCUCUUCAUCUCUGUUGUCCGCUGACCAGCGGGGAAAGUGGGCAGGGCACUCUCCACUGCCAGGUUGCCUGUGCUGCUGUUGCUGUCUUGGGCAGACUUCACACCCUACCAGCUUUCAGUUGCUGGUAGAAGACCACAGUCUGAAAAUACUAACUGG
rnacentral:lncRNA from 1 species